rnacentral:tRNA from 2 species
GAGAGAGGCCCUGAGGCAAUAGGAACUGCUAAUUCCUACCGCCCGUGGUUAAAAUCCACGGCUCACUCG